AAGUCUGAUGGAGCAACGCCGCGUGAGUGAAGAAGGUUUUCGGAUCGUAAAACUCUGUUGUAAGGGAAGAACACGUACGAGAGUAACUGCUCGUACCUUGACGGUACCUUAUUAGAAAGCCACGGCUAACUACGUGCCAGCAGCCGCGGUAAUAAU
rnacentral:rRNA from 1 species